AACGAACGCUGGCGGCAGGCCUAACACAUGCAAGUCGAACGCGCGUAGCAAUACGCGAGUGGCGCACGGGUGAGUAACACGUGGGAACCAACCCAGAGGUUCGGAAUAACCGCGGGAAACUGCGGCUAAUACCGGAUGUCCCCCAUGGGGGGAAAGAUUUAUCGCCUCUGGACGGGCCCGCGUCCGAUUAGCUAGUUGGUGAGGUAACGGCUCACCAAGGCUACGAUCGGUAGCUGGUCUGAGAGGAUGACCAGCCACACUGGAACUGAGAUACGGUCCAGACUCCUACGGGAGGCAGCAGUGGGGAAUAUUGGGCAAUGGAGGCAACUCUGACCCAGCCAUGCCGCGUGGGUGACGAAGG
rnacentral:rRNA from 1 species